rnacentral:tRNA from 1 species
ACCCUGAUGGUCCAGUGGUUAAGACUCUGCACUUCCAAGGCAGGGGUCAUGGGUUUAAGCCCUGGUCAGGGAA